AGGGUUCGAGUUCUGGCUCGAGGACGAACGCUGGCGGCGUGCCUAACACAUGCAAGUCGAACGAAGCAUAUUCUCAGAGAUUCGUCGAAGAGGGGUAUGACUUAGUGGCGGACGGGUGAGUAAUGCGUGAGCAACCUGCCCUUCGGAGGGGACAACAGUUGGAAACGACUGCUAAUACCGCAUGAUGUGUCUGGGAGGCAUCUCCCGGAUACCAAAGAUUUUAUCGCCGAAGGAUGGGCUCACGUCUGAUUAGCUGGUUGGCGGGGUAACGGCCCACCAAGGCAUCGAUCAGUAGCCGGACUGAGAGGUUGAACGGCCACAUUGGGACUGAGAUACGGCCCAGACUCCUACGGGAGGCAGCAGUGGGGAAUAUUGGGCAAUGGGCGCAAGCCCUGACCCAGCAACGCCGCGUGAAGGAAGAAGGCCUUCGGGUUGUAAACUUCUUUUAUGAGGGACGAAGGACGUGACGGUACCUCAUGAAUAAGCCACGGCUAACUACGUGCCAGCAGCUGC
rnacentral:rRNA from 1 species